rnacentral:misc_RNA from 1 species
CUCCACCAGGUUUUCGAUAAUCCCCACCCAACACCGUUUCAGACUCAUUAGCGGCUCCUUAACAAGUCUAUCUUGUCUGAGUUUGACUGACCGGGGCCGUUCGGGGUUUUUUUUUAUAAAAAAAACUGAACUGCCAUUAUGCUCGCCUUACAAUGCGCAUCGAAAGGACUCAGCCAGUUCCAAGGAAUUCUUGGAGUUGCCUUGCGUUUUUCAUCUUCUCUGGCUGACGAGGCGACAUUUGACCUCCAGCCAUUCAAACUCCACAAACUUGAAUCAGGACCGUCAACAACAGCCACUCUCACUCGAGAUGAUGCCCUCACUUACUAUAAACAAAUGCAGGUUAUCCGACGAAUGGAGACAGCUGCCGGCAACCUCUACAAGUCUAAAAUUAUUCGUGGAUUCUGUCAUUUGUACUCUGGACAGGAAGCUUGCUGUGUUGGGAUGGAAAGUGCUAUUGAGAGGGACGACCCAGUUAUUACAGCCUAUCGAGCUCAUGGUUGGACCUAUAUGAGGGGAGUCUCUUUGGUGGGAGUACUGUCAGAACUCACAGGACGCAAAACGGGUUGCGCUCAAGGCAAAGGUGGUUCUAUGCACAUGUACAAUUAUAAUUUCUUUGGUGGAAAUGGCAUUGUAGGAGCUCAGGUGCCAUUAGGAGCUGGCAUUGGUUUUGCCCUGAAGUACCAGAAGAAACCUAAUAUUGUUGUAGCUCUGUAUGGAGAUGGUGCUGCCAACCAAGGGCAAUUGUUUGAGACCUAUAACCUGGCUAAGUUGUGGAAUAUUCCUAUAAUUUUCGUGUGUGAGAACAAUGGAUAUGGAAUGGGUACAAGUGUUGAUCGAGCAGCUGCCUCAACUGAUUACUACACUCGAGGGGAUUAUGUCCCUGGCAUUUGGGUUGAUGGUAUGGAUGUAUUAGCAGUUAGAGAAGCCACAAGAUUUGCCCGACGCUAUGCUCUUAAACAAGGUCCCAUCCUCUUAGAGUGUGUUACUUACCGUUACCAUGGUCACAGUAUGAGUGACCCGGGAACAAGUUACCGUACAAGAGCAGAAAUUCAAGAAGUAAGAGAAAAAAGGGACCCCAUUUCAGCACUGAAAGAACGUAUGUUGUCUAAUAAUCUAGCUGCUGCUGAUGAACUUAAGAAAAUUGACCUUGGAGUACGAAAAGAAGUUGAUGUUGCAGUAACUGCGGCUAAAGCUGACCCAGAGCUGCCUAUAGAAGAACUAUACACACAUGUAUAUAAAAACCCGCCUAGUGGAAUGAAAAUACGUGGCUGUGAUAAUUAUUCAUACAAUGCAACAAUGUAGAAAAUGUAGCUUGUUUUCCACUCCCAUUGAGAAAGAAGGAAGGCCAUGAAUCAAAAUAUUGGUCCUUGUCAUCAAGAAACACUUGACCUCUAAGAUAAGAAGGUGGACUACAUAAUACGUAAUUUUGAGAUUAAACAAUUUUCUUGGGGUAUAUCUGAAA